UACAGAGGUCUCAAGCGUUGUUCGGAUUCAUUGGGCGUAAAGGGUGCGUAGGCGGCGCGGUAAGUCGGGUGUGAAAUCUCGGAGCUUAACUCCGAAACUGCAUUCGAUACUGCCGUGCUUGAGGACUGGAGAGGAGACUGGAAUUUACGGUGUAGCGGUGAAAUGCGUAGAUAUCGGGAAGAACACCCGUGGCGAAGGCGGUUCUCUGGGCCUUACCUGACGCUGAGGAGCGAAAGCGUGGGGAGCGAACAGG
rnacentral:rRNA from 1 species